AUGUGGUCAGCUGGUCUGCAUGGCUGCCCGGGCCCAGCACAGCAAGGUGUCCCAGGCCGGGCCUUGGAAGCCUUUGACCUGGAUCCCGCACAGUGGGGAGUCAAUGUGCCGCCAUACUCAGGGUCCCCAGCCAACCUGGCCGCCCGAUGGGGGCCAUCUUACCCAUUGCUACAUGUCUGAUGUCAAGUGGAUCUCUGCCACAUCCAUUUUCUUCCAGUCUAUGCCCUAUAAACUCAAUCCCUAAACUGGCCUCAUCGACUACGACCAGCUGGCGCUGACCGCUCGGCUUUUCCGACCGCGGCUCAUCAUAGCUGGCACGAGUGCCUAUGCCUGCCUCAUUGACUAUGCACGCAUGAGAGAGGUCUGUGAUGAGGUCAGGGCACACCUGCUGGCAGACAUGGCCCACAUCAGUGGCCUGGUGGCCGCCAAGGUGAUCCCUUUCCCUUUCAUAUAUGCGGACGUUGUUGCCACCACCACUCACAAGACACUGCGAGGGGCCAGGUCAGGGCUCAUCUUCUACCGGAAGGGAGUACGGACCGUAGACCCCAAGACUGGCAAAGAGAUCCCUUAUACCUUUGAGGACCAAAUCAACUUCGCUGUGUUCCCAUCCCUACAGGGUGGCCCCCACAACCACGCCAUUGCUGCAGUAGCUGUGGCUCUCAAGCAGGCCUGCACCUCUAUAUUCCGAGAGUACUCCUUACAAGUACUGAGGAACGCCCAGGCCAUGGCUGAUGCCCUGCUCAAGCAAGGUUACUCACUGGUGUCUGGUGACACUGACACCCACCUGGUGCUGGUGGACCUGCGGCCCAAGGGCCUGGAUGGAGCCCGAGCCGAACGCGUGUUGGAACUCGUCUCCAUCACUGCCAACAAGAACACCUGUCCUGGAGACCAGAGCACCAUUACUCCGGGGGGGCUUGAGGCUUGGGGCCCCCGCGUUGACCUCUCGCCAGUUCCGUGAGGACGACUUCCAUAGAGUCGUCAAUUUUAUCGAUGAGGGAAUCAACAUUGGCUUGGAGGUGAAGCGCAAGACUGCCAAGCUCCAGGAUUUCAAAUCCUUCCUGCUCAAGGACCCAGAGACAAGCCAGCGUUUGGCCAACCUCCGGCAACAGGUGGAACAGUUUGCCAGGGGCUUCCNGAUGCCUGGAUUUGAUGAACGUUGA